AUUAGAUACCCUGGGUAGUCCACGCUGUAAACGAUGGAUACUAGGUGUGCGGGGACUGACCCCCUGCGUGCCGCAGCCAACGCAAUAAGUAUCCCACCUGGGGAGUACGAUCGCAAGGUUGAAACUCAAAGGAAUUGACGGGGGCCCGCACAAGCGGUGGAUUAUGUGGUUUAAUUCGAUGCAACGCGAAGAACCUUACCAGGGCUUGACAUCCUGCUAACGAGGUAGAGAUACGUCAGGUGCCCUCCGGGGAAAGCAGAGACAGGUGGUGCAUGGUUGUCGUCAGCUCGUGUCGUGAGAUGUUGGGUUAAGUCCCGCAACGAGCGCAACCCCUAUUUCCAGUAGCCAGCAGGUAGAGCUGGGCACUCUGGAGAGACUGCCCGGGAUAACCGGGAGGAAGGUGGGGAUGACGUCAAAUCAUCAUGCCCCUUAUGAUCAGGGCUACACACGUGCUACAAUGGCGUAAACAAAGGGAAGCGAGACGGUGACGUUGAGCAAAUCCCAAAAAUAACGUCCCAGUUCGGAUUGUAGUCUGCAACUCGACUACAUGAAGCUGGAAUCGCUAGUAAUCGCGAAUCAGAAUGUCGCGGUGAAUACGUUCCCGGGUCUUGUACACACCGCCCGUCACACCAUGGGAGUCGGGAAUGCCCGAAGUCGGUGACCCAACCAAUAAGGAGGGAGCUGCCGAAGGCAGGUCUGGUGACUGGGGUGAAGUCGUAACAAGGUACC
rnacentral:rRNA from 1 species